UUAUGUGUGAGAACUAAACCAGUUAUUAAUUGCCCCUACUUCGGGGUGCACGUCUAGUUCGUGGGCGUCGCGUUUUAGGUGUACCAGCCUAGUUACGGAAGGUACACAGCAUAGUUAGUUCAUUUAGCGUACAGUUCACCUCCUGUGGUGAAUAAGCACGCACAGGCCGGUCGGCAGAUGUUACAAACUUCCUUUUAGCCUUGUUGGGCUUUGUUGAGGAAAGAAGGGAUCAUCCUUCCUUUCGUUCCUGAAUUUGGAGAUAUUCACUUUAAAAAGAUCAACUUUUCUUCAGAGAACAUCCCUACUUUUGAGAAAAUAACAUUGGAUUCCAGAAUUUUUCCAUUCUUCAGCAUCUGAUUCGGUUAUUUGACAUUUGACAUGACUACGACAAAAUCGAUGAUUCAAGGUCAGAUAGGAUAAUCAAUAGCGUGGAGUUGUGCGUGUAUGCUGUGGAAUGUCCUUGGUCUUUAAAAUAUGGGAAACUUUACUUGGGCGUAUUAAAUUUCAUUUGUGAAUUUUUGAUCGGGAAAACAUGACUUGAGUCAAACUAAAUUUGUAUAGGUUAAAGGAGGUUCAAUAAAAAAAUGGAAUGAAAAACAAA